rnacentral:ncRNA from 1 species
UGUCAGGGGUGCUGGAAACGGCUGAGAUGAACAGAUGGUUCAAACCCUUAACCUGAUACGGAUAAUGCCGUCGUAGGGAGAUAUGUU